UGGAAUGUAUAUAUCCUUUAUAUUAAUGAUGAAACACUUGUCACAAUCUUAACCAGCAACCCGAUAUUUAUUAUCAAAAAUUAAAAAAUCCACCUAUCUUCCAUAAAAAAAUUACCCACCCAUGACCCAAUUUUAACCUAAAUCCCAUUUCUUGGUGACCCGAAGACAGUCCUUCUAAUACCACCACCGCUGCCGGCCAUUCGGCUAAAUUACUCCGGCCAUCUGACUAAAUUAGUUUUCUAGGUCAUCGGAUUUUUUUCUUUCUUGUAGAUAUAAGGGAUUCAACUUGACUUAUGAAAUUGAUUUAUUGUUGUUGCAAUAUUUGAAUCAGCACUCUUCAAGUUGCUCAGAGUUUGUUUGUGCUGGAGAAGACUGACAUCGAUUACUCUUCUAGAGCUCCUAUACAUGUGACGGAAACGGGGAAAAUGGUCGGGCGGCGGUGGUGGUCGUGAUGGUAUUGGAAGGA